AGAAACUGCCGUUCAAGAAGAUUCUAUCAGAUGUGAGACGCCUCUGAAAAAAGAAUUAGAAGACAUUCAAGAUACCAGUGAAAAAGGACCAGAUAUCAUUCCUCCAUUCGCUAACGAAACAGAAGUUUAUUAUACUGGUGGCUCUACCAAGCAGCCAAGGUGUAUCCGGUCCAUACCGAAGCAUGGUUCCAUUAGGAAGCAUGGUUCUCCAACCGAAUUAGGAAUUAUUCGGCCUGUUUCGAAGCUCAGCGGUUCCCCAACGGAAUUCGAUCAAAGAACAAUUGAUUCUAAUUUAUAGCAAAAGCCAGCAGUUUCAUUAAAUAUCUCUUCCAGAGGCUUCCAGGGAUUCUUCACUCAUUCGUCAUCCGUUCCAUCCAUAGAUGAAAUUUCCAAGAAAGUGUGAAUUAUGUGUGAAGGCGAUGCCAUAUCUGCCCUUUAAAUUAAACCCCGUGAUGUUUGGAAACCCAUUGUGUCCCGCCGGAUGAAAAGGUACUUCUCUCGAGAGACCAUUUGCGUGUGAACCUUUUUUAUCUGAAGAAAAGAAGUAUAUGAACAGAUUCAUCUAUACUUGAACAAGGAACUCAGAACAAAAAUUCUUAAAAUAGCUUUGUCUGAAAUAAAAAGAUACGGGAAGGUUCUGCAGCAUCCAUGUAUCUAGUGUAAGAAUUUAAAGGGUCUGGAAAAAGAUAUCUCCUGCAGUUUAGAUUAAACUACUGAGUGCUUUUAAGGAAUCGGAAAGAAAAUUUCUGAAAGAAUUCAAGAGAGAAAACUUCCGAUGAAAUAAUGAGAAAUACAACUAUCAAAUAACACAAGAAUUUUAAUGGUGCAUAUAAUUUAAUUCUUAUGAUUUCAUUACUGGCGGUACGCUAAUUGGUUUUCUUAAAGAUAUUUAGAAUUAAAUGCACUUGAUGGAAAAGUGUUGUGAUGUUACAUUUAUAACAGCCAUGAACGUUUAGGCAUUUGACUUGCUCCUGUGAAUUUAACUCAUUUACAGUAUCAGUGAUGUAACAAUUACAUCAAGAAUAUUGAUUAGAAAGCGGAAAAGAAGCACGCCAAGCGAGAUAUAAAAUUAGUAACACAACAACCUUGAGUUUGGCGUAGAUUUAAGUCAAGAUCUCAAUCGAUUUCGAGAGCAUUCAGGUGCAGGUCCCUCUUCAUAAGGAGCUUCAAGACGGGCCAAACACUCAUACUCAACAGUAAAGUAAACGAGCAGGUAGCGCCAUCUAUCAGCAAAUAUAUUAGUGAAAUUAAAAAAUAAGUUAAUAGAUUUUUAAAAGCAUUAGGAAGGACUGGAUUGAACUUAAAAGUAAUUAACUAAGCAAGAUACAUCUCUGUGAAUGUGAAAAACCCCAAGAAAAUCCAAUUCAGCAAGCUUAAAUCUACGCCAAACUCAAAGUUAUUUUGUUACUAAUUUUAAAUAUUGAUUAGCAUUAAACUUAUUCGUUUUCUUAAAGCCAAUUAAUCCUUUUUUGUUUAAUAAAUUUAACAUUAACAAAAAUAUGAAAGGCUGACACUGAACCGUGUUAAGGAAAAACAGAAAUGAGGAUGUUUCGCCCAAAUUAAUAGAUUAUAUAGUUUUCGUAUUGAACACACAGAUUUGGGAGUAACAUUUAAAUGCAUCAUUUUGAAAUAGCGAUAAAGAUAUAUAAAUGUGUGCAAUAUUAAGAAAAAAAAAUUAUAUAUUCUGUUUAAUUGGAAGUUCCCAAAAAUCUAAUAUUUCCACUUAAAAAAGGAAAGCUUAUCUUAGAAUAUACAAAUUAAAUGCAUUUAACAUCUAUUUUACUUGAAAUUAUUUUUUAACAAUAUAAAACUUUAAAAAAAAAACUGAAGGUCUGUUAGUUUUUUGUAAAUUUAAACUCACCGAACAUUAAAACAUACUAAAACGAAAUAAAAUUUUUCUCCAAAAUUUAUUUAUCUUUCGUUAGAAUAAAAAUAAAUAAAAUUUCAAAUAUAUUCAUGAUUUACUUUUCAUCACUUCAAUAAAUAAAUGUAUGUUCGGUUAUUUAGUGUAAAAUAUUUUGAAAAAUCAAAUAUAAUUUUAUAAAUAAGAAAAUGAUAGGCCUGAUUUAUUAAAUAGGCCAAAAUAUAUUUUCAUUGAUUAGAUUUCGAUAGUUUAAAGCAAUGAAAUAUGAUAAGACCUUUGGAAUAACAGAAACAAUUUAAGGAAAGAAAAACGAUUUGUAUACUUAAUGCAUCAAAUUUAAUACUUACAUAAAUAGGUAACUUCGAAGUAUCUUUAUAUAUCUGAAAAGGGCAUACAUGUAAAAUAAUCUCACUCAAACAAAUAAGCAAAUUAUAUAUACAUAUUUUAAAUAUUUCACUUAAUAUCCCAGAAUCCGUUCAACAUUUCAAUACCAUAAAAAUGAAGCAGCAAAAUUAAAUAUAUUACUAUUAAAUUUCUUAUGUUGAAUGCUCUUAUAUAAAAUUUGCAAUGUUAAACUAAAAAUAAAAGUUGCAUGUAAUAAGUUUUUAUGACUGCCCAAAGAGAUGGAACUUCUAAAAUAUUUUAAGCCAUAGUCUCUGAAAGUUACAUAUAUAGACAAGAAAAUGACUAAAAUACCGCUCAACUAUUGCUACAUUUAUUUUUGCUUUUAUUUUAUUUUAUAUUUAGUUUUUAAGAAGAGCAUAAUGUUUCAAUGCUGAAAAAUCAAAAUGGCUCUAGAGAUUACUUUCGAAAUUUUUCUUCUGCCAUUGAGAUGAAAUCAUUUCAUUAAAAUAUAAAAUUCUUGGGCUCUCGAAAUCUGUUUUUACGCGAUAAAGUUAUCAAUAACGAUAUUUUUAGCCUGAAAAAUGAAUUAAAUCUUAGUACAGCCUUAUAAAAUCAUUCGAAGGUUGAAGUAUAUAUUUUUAAUUCAAUCGCAAAGUUUUUUGUGAGACUGAAAGAAACUUUUGUGCAUUUCUGUGUUUUAUAAAGGAUAAAAGGGAAAUGUUGAGUAUUUUUUAUUCUCUUUCUUUCUUCUUCCUCCGCUUCUUUGAUUUCAGUCAAGUAGGAUAUGAUGUUUCAGAAUUAUGCGUAUUAUGAAAUGCAGUAGAUUUUUAAAACUGCUUUCAUUUGGUAACAGCGAUAAAGUAGCUUAAACCUGUUGGCUCAUGAUAUUGUAUUGGUAUUUCAGAAGGAUUAUAUUUGAAAUGGACACAAUGUUGAUAAAAAUAAAUCUUUAUUAAUGAUAAAUCAUUUUGAUGUUCUAUUUGUAUUGUUCCUAUAGUAUGUGAAUUUGUUAUAUCAAUAAUAAAAUGAAAAUAUAUUUUUGUAUUAAAGGUAUUAC
rnacentral:lncRNA from 1 species